rnacentral:rRNA from 1 species
GUUGAACGCUGGCGGCGUGCCUAACACAUGCAAGUCGAGCGAUCUUCUUCGGAAGAGAGCGGCGGACGGGUGAGUAACGCGUGGGUAACCUGCCCUGUACACACGGAUAACAUACCGAAAGGUAUGCUAAUACGAGAUAAUAUACUUUUAUCGCAUGGUAGAAAUAUCAAAGCUCUGGCGGUACAGGAUGGACCCGCGUCUGAUUAGCUAGUUGGUAAGGUAACGGCUUACCAAGGCGACGAUCAGUAGCCGACCUGAGAGGGUGAUCGGCCACAUUGGAACUGAGACACGGUCCAAACUCCUACGGGAGGCAGCAGUGGGGAAUAUUGCACAAUGGGCGAAAGCCUGAUGCAGCAACGCCGCGUGAGCGAUGAAGGCCUUCGGGUCGUAAAGCUCUGUCCUCAAGGAAGAUAAUGACGGUACUUGAGGAGGAAGCCCCGGCUAACUACGUGCCAGCCGCCGCAGUAA